rnacentral:rRNA from 1 species
CCUACGGGCGGCUGCAGUGGGGAAUAUUGCACAAUGGGCGCAAGCCUGAUGCAGCCAUGCCGCGUGUGUGAAGAAGGCCUUCGGGUUGUAAAGCACUUUCAGCGGGGAGGAAGGCGUUAAGGUUAAUAACCUUGGCGAUUGACGUUACCCGCAGAAGAAGCACCGGCUAACUCCGUGCCAGCAGCCGCGGUAAGACGGAGGGUGCAAGCGUUAAUCGGAAUUACUGGGCGUAAAGCGCACGCAGGCGGUCUGUCAAGUCGGAUGUGAAAUCCCCGGGCUCAACCUGGGAACUGCAUUCGAAACUGGCAGGCUAGAGUCUUGUAGAGGGGGGUAGAAUGCCAGGUGUAGCGGUGAAAUGCGUAGAGAUCUGGAGGAAUACCGGUGGCGAAGGCGGCCCCCUGGACAAAGACUGACGCUCAGGUGCGAAAGCGUGGGGAGCAAACAGGAUUAGAUACCCGUGUAGUC